rnacentral:rRNA from 1 species
AUUGAACGCUGGCGGCAGGCCUAACACAUGCAAGUCGAGCGGUAGAGAGAAGCUUGCUUCUCUUGAGAGCGGCGGACGGGGGAGUAAUGCCUAGGAAUCUGCCUGGUAGAGGGGGAUAACGUUCGGAAACGGACGCUAAUACCGCAUACGCCCACGGGAGAAAGCAGGGGACCUUCGGGCCUUGCGCUAUCAGAUGAGCCUAGGUCGGAUGAGCUAGUUGGUGGGGUAAUGGCUAACCAAGGCGACGAUCCGUAACUGGUCUGAGAGGAUGAUCAGUCACACUGGGACUGAGACACGGUCCAGACUCCUACGGGAGGGAGCAGUGGGGAAUAGUGGACAAUGGGCGAAAGCCUGAUCCAGCCAUGCCGCGUGUGUGAAGAAGGUCUUCGGAUUGUAAAGCACUUUAAGUUGGGAGGAAGGGUUGUAGAUUAAUACUCUGCAAUUUUGACGUUACCGACAGAAUAAGCACCGGCUAACUCUGUGCCAGCCGCCGCAGUAA